CCUACGGGUGGCUGCAGUGAGGAAUAUUGGUCAAUGGGCUUACGCCUGAACCAGCCAAGUCGCGUGAGGGAAGACUGCCCUAUGGGUUGUAAACCUCUUUUGUCAGGGAGCAAUUGGCGCUACGUGUAGCGUUAUCGAGAGUACCUGAAGAAAAAGCAUCGGCUAACUCCGUGCCAGCAGCCGCGGUAAUACGUAGGGGGCAAGCGUUGUCCGGAAUGACUGGGCGUAAAGGGAGUGUAGGCGGCCUUGUAAGUUAGAUGUGAAAUCCUACGGCUUAACCGUAGAACUGCAACUAAAACUGUGAGGCUGGAGUGCAGGAGAGGUGAGUGGAAUUCCUAGUGUAGCGGUGGAAUGCGUAGAUAUUAGGAGGAACACCAGAGGCGAAGGCGACUCACUGGACUGUAACUGACGCUGAGGCUCGAAAGCGUGGGGAGCAAACAGGAUUAGAUACCCUAGUAGUC
rnacentral:rRNA from 1 species